GAUGAAGAACGUAGCGAAAUGCGAUAAGUAGUGUGAAUUGCAGAAUUCAGUGAAUCAUCGAAUCUUUGAACGCACAUUGCGCCCUUUGGUAUUCCAAAGGGCAUGCCUGUUCGAGCGUCAUUUGUACCCUCAAGCUUUGCUUGGUGUUGGGCGUCUUGUCUCUAGCUUUGCUGGAGACUCGCCUUAAAGUAAUUGGCAGCCGGCCUACUGGUUUCGGAGCGCAGCUCAAGUCGCGCUCUCUAUCAGCAAAGGUCUAGCAUCCAUUAAGCCUUUUUUUCAACUUUUGACCUCGGAUCAGGUAGGGAUACCCGCUGAACUUAAGCAUAUCAAUAAGCGGAGGA
rnacentral:misc_RNA from 1 species